AUUGCUUUCUAGUAUUAGUAGUAGUUUAAAACCCAUCUAAAUCAUUGGUUGCACUUAGAUUAAGUGAGUACUUGCAUUCUCAGUGCUUUGAUAUCCCUCAGAACUGGUUCGACAAUCAUUUAUACUACAACAUUUGUCUUAGGAGCCUUGAAAACUCCUAACAUCAAUAUUCAUCAUGAUAUUUAAUUCUCCAUGAUUUUAAAUUAAAUCAUUAGUUUAAUUAAUAAUAUUAUUUAAAAUUUAUUUUAAUAUAUAUAUAUAUAUAUAUAUAUAUAUCAUGAUAUUUAGGAUAUUUAACUAAUAAAUAGAUAUUCACAAUAGAUAGUUUUUGUUGAUUUAUGUUCUCCAUAAUUUUAAAUAUGGGUCAUUAUUUUAAUUAAUAUAUUAUCUAUGCCAUUAAUAUUAUUAUCUAUCCUAUUAUUUAAUAUAUAUAUAUAUUUAUAUAUAUAUAUAUAUCACGAUAUUUAGAUUUAUCAUUUUUUCCUUGAUUUUAGGAUAAAUCAUUAGUGUAAUUAAUAGGGAAAAUUUGGAGAAAUGCAUUCAAAUAAGAUUAUAAUUUGAAAACUACACCCUUAUUUAAAAUUUUGGAAAAUAUACUUAUAUAUAUAUAUAAAUUUACCUAAUUGCCCAUUCUUAAUAUUUCUAAUAUAUUGUUUAAAUUUUUUUUUUAAAAAAAAUUGUAGUUUCUAAUAUAUUGUUUAAAAAUCUUUUUAAGAAAAAUCGUACAGAAUCUAUCUAAUAUCUUUUUAAUAUAUCUACAUAAUAUAUAUUUCUUAUUAUUUUGAAAAAAAAAGAAAUCAAAACCCAUAUCGUCUUCUCGUCUUCUUCUCCUUGCCAUUUCUGAAACUUUUCCCCUUUUUCUCUUAGUUUCACAGAUUCUUCCUCUUAGAAGUUUGUAGAUUCAUGAAUCAUAUUUCAGUUUCUAAUUCUGAUUCUAUUUUAUUCUGACAAUAAAUCUGUUUUAUCUUUCGUUUAGGAAAAUCAUGUUGCAUUUGACUGGAGUUUUAGGAGAGUGGAAGAUGAAUAAAGAAUCAUGGAGAUUAAAGGUGAAUACAAGAGCAGGAGGUAAAUUAUUUACCAUUAAGGAAGGCUUGAAGUUUGAUGAGAUGGUUGAGAUGGUUCAUGAAGAUUUUGGUAUAAAUAGGUUGGGUAAUGAGUUAGAACUUAGCUACGCACUACCAGAAUCAAUGCUUCGAGAUAUGCCUAAGGAUACACCUCCUGUUUUUGUGAACAAUGAUAGGCAAUUAGUUUCUGCGUCUUUGCAUCUCGGUGAAGAAUGGAAACCUAGGGAACCAUGAUCAAGGUUUCAGUCGUGAAGAUACUGCCAUUGAUGGAAAAAGGCAUGGAAAUAAGAAUAAGAAUGUUGAUAGACAGGAGAGUAAUCAGGAAUCAGAAGUGGAAGUUUCUAAUUUUCAUGAUGCAAAGGUCAUUGAAAAGGGACAAUGGUUCAAAAAUAAAUCAGAGCUGUCUUGGGGUAGUAGAGGAUAUAUAAUGUUUAUUGACUAUUGUUAUUUUAUUGACGUUUUAUGGGUUGUGAUUGUUUAUAAUAAUUUCAAUGCGAGUUGAACUUUUUUUUUGUCUACAAAUACAAUCUAUACUAUUAAAAGAGAAAUUUUCCGAAAAAUCUACUUAUACAAGAUUGUUGCACCAUUUUAUUAUACUACUAAUAUUUUGGUCUUACCUUAAAUAAAGACUAGCAAUAUGUUACCAUAUAUUUCUUGAACAAUAUCUAUAUUAUUAAAGGAGAAGUACUCAUUAAAAAAUACCCCUAAGUUUUCUAACUUAUUUACACUUCCAUGCCACUGAGAGUUAAAUUAAACUAUCAAUUUUAAUGCUUGUCUUUUCCAGUUAAAUUAAUGAGUUUCUUUAAUCAAAUUUAAAAUUUUUUUUUGGAUAAUUAUGCUAUUUCAAACUAUGAGAAAUAUUAUAGACGAUUCUACAACCGACAAUUCUACCUGCCUUAUUAGGAUUCAAGUCUAACUGCAUCACCUAAGCCGCCCUAUCGGAUCCACGCUUGAAGGUACUCCUUGCGCCAUGCUGCAGAUCUCUUGUAAGUCUUUUCUCCAUUAAUUCGCAUAAUUCCGCCUUCUCCGGGAAUCGAAACCCAGACCUCCUGGUGUAGAAGUAUUAAUGUACCCUUAGUCAAACCACUGGACCAAGUGGGCUUCCACAAAUCAAAUUUAAACUUAAUGUCAUUAAAUGAACCUACAUAUUUUAAUGUUUGUCUUUUUCCGUUAAAUUAAUGAGUUUUCCUUAAUCAAAUUUAAACGUAUGAUUUUUGCAUAAUACUUCAAAUUGAACAUUGAAACAGAUAGAAUAAUUUUUUAAUCUUUUACCGACACAGAACUUAAACAAAAUAAAGAGUUAAAUGUAUUUUUUUUGUUACACUUCCCGGAAAAAAACGGUUACAACAUGGGCUUUCAUAAUAUGGCAUUUUAACAUAUUAAUGUUAUGGACAUUUAAUAAUUAUCUUGACGAAAAACAGAGACUA